UCCCUGGCAGUCUAGUGGUUAAGACGCUGCACUUCUACUGCAGGGGGAACAGGUUCAAUCCCUGUUCGGGGAA